rnacentral:rRNA from 2 species
GGGUUGUGAGGUUAAGCGACUAAGCGUACACGGUGGAUGCCCUGGCAGUCAGAGGCGAUGAAGGACGUGCUAAUCUGCGAUAAGCGCCGGUAAGGUGAUAUGAACCGUUAUAACCGGCGAUUUCCGAAUGGGGAAACCCAGUGUGAUUCGUCACACUAUCAUUAACUGAAUCCAUAGGUUAAUGAGGCGAACCGGAGGAACUGAAACAUCUAAGUACCCCGAGGAAAAGAAAUCAACCGAGAUUCCCCCAGUAGCGGCGAGCGAACGGGGAGGAGCCCAGAGCCUGAAUCAGCAUGUGUGUUAGUGGAAGCGUCUGGAAAGGCGCGCGAUACAGGGUGACAGCCCCGUACACAAAAGCGCAUGUGCUGUGAGCUCGAUGAGUAGGGCGGGACACGUGGUAUCCUGUCUGAAUAUGGGGGGACCAUCCUCCAAGGCUAAAUACUCCUGACUGACCGAUAGUGAACCAGUACCGUGAGGGAAAGGCGAAAAGAACCCCGGCGAGGGGAGUGAAAAAGAACCUGAAACCGUGUACGUACAAGCAGUGGGAGCACAGGUUUACCUGUGUGACUGCGUACCUUUUGUAUAAUGGGUCAGCGACUUAUAUUCUGUAGCAAGGUUAACCGUAUAGGGGAGCCGGAGGGAAACCGAGUCUUAACCGGGCGUUAAGUUGCAGGGUAUAGACCCGAAACCCGGUGAUCUAGCCAUGGGCAGGUUGAAGGUUGGGUAACACUAACUGGAGGACCGAACCGACUAAUGUUGAAAAAUUAGCGGAUGACCUGUGGCUGGGGGUGAAAGGCCAAUCAAACCGGGAGAUAGCUGGUUCUCCCCGAAAGCUAUUUAGGUAGCGCCUCGUGAAUUCAUCUCCGGGGGUAGAGCACUGUUUCGGCUAGGGGGCCAUCCCGGCUUACCAACCCGAUGCAAACUGCGAAUACCGGAGAAUGUUAUCACGGGAGACACACGGCGGGUGCUAACGUCCGUCGUGAAGAGGGAAACAACCCAGACCGCCAGCUAAGGUCCCAAAGUCAUGGUUAAGUGGGAAACGAUGUGGGAAGGCCCAGACAGCCAGGAUGUUGGCUUAGAAGCAGCCAUCAUUUAAAGAAAGCGUAAUAGCUCACUGGUCGAGUCGGCCUGCGCGGAAGAUGUAACGGGGCUAAACCAUGCACCGAAGCUGCGGCAGCGACACUCAGGUGUUGUUGGGUAGGGGAGCGUUCUGUAAGCCUGUGAAGGUGGCCUGUGAGGGUUGCUGGAGGUAUCAGAAGUGCGAAUGCUGACAUAAGUAACGAUAAAGCGGGUGAAAAGCCCGCUCGCCGGAAGACCAAGGGUUCCUGUCCAACGUUAAUCGGGGCAGGGUGAGUCGACCCCUAAGGCGAGGCCGAAAGGCGUAGUCGAUGGGAAACGGGUUAAUAUUCCCGUACU